rnacentral:rRNA from 2 species
UUCCGGUUGAUCCCGCCGGACCUGACUGCUAUCGGAUUGAUACUAAGCCAUGCGAGUCAUUGUAGCAAUACAAGGCAUACGGCUCAGUAACGCGUAGUCAACCUAACCUAUGGACGGGAAUAACCUCGGGAAACUGAGAAUAAUGCCCGAUAGAACAUUAUACCUGGAAUGGUUUAUGUUCCAAAUGAUUUAUCGCCAUAGGAUGGGACUGCGGCCUAUCAGUUUGUUGGUGAGGUAAUGGCCCACCAAGACUAUUACAGGUACGGGCUCUGAGAGGAGUAGCCCGGAGAUGGGUACUGAGACACGGACCCAGGCCCUAUGGGGCGCAGCAGGCGAGAAAACUUUGCAAUGUGCGAAAGCACGACAAGGUUAAUCCGAGUGAUUUCUGCUAAAGAGAUCUUUUGUUAGUCCUAGAAACACUAACGAAUAAGGGGUGGGCAAGUUCUGGUGUCAGCCGCCGCGGUAAAACCAGCACCUCAAGUGGUCAGGAUGAUUAUUGGGCCUAAAGCAUCCGUAGCCGGCUCUGUAAGUUUUCGGUUAAAUCUGUACGCUCAACGUACAGGCUGCCGGGAAUACUGCAGAACUAGGGAGUGGGAGAGGUAGACGGUACUCGGUAGGAAGUGGUAAAAUGCUUUGAUCUAUCGAUGACCACCUGUGGCGAAGGCGGUCUACCAGAACACGUCCGACGGUGAGGGAUGAAAGCUGGGGGAGCAAACCGGAUUAGAUACCCGGGUAGUCCCAGCUGUAAACUAUGCAAACUCAGUGAUGCAUUGGCUUGUGGCCAAUGCAGUGCUGCAGGGAAGCCGUUAAGUUUGCCGCCUGGGAAGUACGUACGCAAGUAUGAAACUUAAAGGAAUUGGCGGGGGAGCACCACAAGGGGUGAAGCCUGCGGUUCAAUUGGAUUCAACGCCGGG